ACGCACGCUGGCGGCGUGCCUAAUACAUGCAAGUAGAACGCUGAAGGAGGAGCUUGCUUCUCUGGAUGAGUUGCGAACGGGUGAGUAACGCGUAGGUAACCUGCCUGGUAGCGGGGGAUAACUAUUGGAAACGAUAGCUAAUACCGCAUAAUAGCAGUUAUUGCAUGAUAACUGUUUGAAAGGUGCAAUUGCACCACUACCAGAUGGACCUGCGUUGUAUUAGCUAGUUGGUGGGGUAACGGCUCACCAAGGCGACGAUACAUAGCCGACCUGAGAGGGUGAUCGGCCACACUGGGACUGAGACACGGCCCAGACUCCUACGGGAGGCAGCAGUAGGGAAUCUUCGGCAAUGGACGGAAGUCUGACCGAGCAACGCCGCGUGAGUGAAGAAGGUUUUCGGAUCGUAAAGCUCUGUUGUAAGAGAAGAACGAGUGUGAGAGUGGAAAGUUCACACUGUGACGGUAUCUUACCAGAAAGGGACGGCUAACUACGUG
rnacentral:rRNA from 1 species